CCUACGGGAGGCAGCAGUGAGGAAUAUUGGUCAAUGGACGAGAGUCUGAACCAGCCAAGUAGCGUGAAGGAUGACUGCCCUACGGGUUGUAAACUUCUUUUAUAUGGGAAUAAAAUGUUCCACGUGUGGGAUUUUGUAUGUACCAUAUGAAUAAGGAUCGGCUAACUCCGUGCCAGCAGCCGCGGUAAUACGGAGGAUCCGAGCGUUAUCCGGAAUUAUUUGGUUUAAAGGGAGCGUAGGUGGAUUGUUAAGUCAAUUGUGAAAGUUUGCGGCUCAACCGUAAAAGUGCAGUUGAAACUGGCAGUCUUGAGUACAGGAGAGGUGGGCGGAAUGCGUGGUGUAGCGGUGAAAUGCUUAGAUAUCACGAAGAACUCCGAUUGCGAAGGCAGCUCACUGGACUGCAACUGACACUGAGGCUCGAAAGUGUGGGUAUCAAACAGGAUUAGAUACCCCGGUAGUC
rnacentral:rRNA from 1 species